rnacentral:pre_miRNA from 12 species
GUUUACUUCUAGCAACACUAUCCUGAUGCUGUCAGAGUAAGUGGUAAGGCUCCAGCAUCAGUGAUUUUGUUGUUAGUGGUA